rnacentral:tRNA from 1 species
GCCAGUGUGGCGGAAUUGGCAGACGCGCAUGACUCAAAAUCAUGUAUCCUCUGGAUGUGCCGGUUCGACCCCGGCCACUGGUA